GUUAAACUAUAUAUUUGGGAAAUAAACCAUAAACAACAAAGCUCGUGAGUUUUCUGUACACACUUUUUGAAACUAUCUCUUCAACAUAAUAAACAGAGCUUUUCCAAAAAUUUUGGAACUUUGCAUUCCUGACAACUAAGACCUAUAGUCUUCUUACUUUCAGAUGGUUUUGCAAGAACUCGGUCUGAUUGAGGUUGAUUUGCUGGCUUAACUUUCUGAAGCUGCGCCUCAGCUUUUUGCCUAGAUCCAUUUUCACUUUGCAAGAGCUGAUCAGCAGGUUCAUUCUUAUACUUCAUUGUGGUGAUUGCUUCAGCAAUCAUCUGUUUGUAUAGUUUCAUUAGUAGCUUCAACCCUAGGCCAUAAAUUUCCUCUUUUGAGUGCAUUCGGAAGGGUAGGAUUGGUAAGACUAUAUAGCCUCCGUUAACCUCGAAAUCCAUCCCACUCACAUACUUGGACUCUUCGCUUGCUAGAUACAAAACUGCAUAUGCUAUAUCUUCUGGUUCCAAAACGUCGCCUUUCAAAGUCCCUGCCAAUGAUAAUAACUCUUCAGCCUCCUUCCCCAUAUUCAAAUAUUUUGGCUGACCGACAUAAAAAUUUCUAAUUUCCUCUUACACCACGCAGGAUAAAACCCAAAUCAAG
rnacentral:misc_RNA from 1 species